UAUACGACCGUACCGCAAACCGACACUGGUGCGCGAGAUGAGUAUUCUAAGGCGCUUGAGAGAACUCAGGAGAAGGAACUCGGCAAAUUGACACCGUAACUUCGGAAGAAGGUGUGCCCUAUUAGUGUGUAGUGAACAACGAAGCAUGAAUGGGUUGCAAAAAAUCGGUGGCUGCGACUGUUUAUUAAAAACACAGCACUCUGCAAACACGAAAGUGGACGUAUAGGGUGUGACGCCUGCCCGGUGCUGGAAGGUUAAAUGAUGGGGUGCAAGCUCUUGAUUGAAGUCCCAGUAAACGGCUGCCGUAACAAUAACGGUCCUAAGGUAGCGAAAUUCCUUGUCGGGUAAGUUCCGACCUGCACGAAUGGCGUAACGAUGGCCACACUGUCUCCUCCUGAGACUCAGCGAAGUUGAAAUGUUUGUGAUGAUGCAAUCUCCCCGCGGAAAGACGGAAAGACCCCAUGAACCUUUACUGUAGCUUUGUAUUGGACUUUGAACAGAUCUGUGUAGGAUAGGUGGGAGGCUUUGAAGCAGGGUCGCUAGAUCUUGUGGAGCCAACGUUGAAAUACCACCCUGGUGUGUUUGAGGUUCUAACCUAGGUCCAUUAUCUGGAUCGGGGACAGUGCAUGGUAGGCAGUUUGACUGGGGCGGUCUCCUCCCAAAGCGUAACGGAGGAGUCCGAAGGUACGCUAGUUACGGUCGGACAUCGUGACGAUAGUGCAAUGGCAUAAGCGUGCUUAACUGCGAGACUGACAAGUCGAGCAGAUGCGAAAGCAGGACAUAGUGAUCCGGUGGUUCUGUAUGGAAGGGCCAUCGCUCAACGGAUAAAAGGUACUCUGGGGAUAACAGGCUGAUACCGCCCAAGAGUUCAUAUCGACGGCGGUGUUUGGCACCUCGAUGUCGGCUCAUCUCAUCCUGGGGCUGUAGCCGGUCCCAAGGGUAUGGCUGUUCGCCAUUUAAAGAGGUACGUGAGCUGGGUUUAAAACGUCGUGAGACAGUUUGGUCCCUAUCUUCCGUGGGCGCUGCAGAUUUGAGGAAGCCUGCUCCUAGUACGAGAGGACCGGAGUGGACACACCUCUGGUGUAUCGGUUGUCACGCCAGUGGCAUUGCCGAGUAGCUAAGUGUGGAAGAGAUAACCGCUGAAAGCAUCUAAGCGGGAAACUCGUUUCAAGAUGAGAUCUGCCGGGGCCUUGAGCCCCCUAAAGAGUCGUUCAAGACCAGGACGUUGAUAGGUCAGGUGUGGAAGC
rnacentral:rRNA from 1 species